rnacentral:rRNA from 1 species
AUUGAACGCUGGCGGCAGGCCUAACACAUGCAAGUCGAGCGGAUGAAGGGAGCUUGCUCCUGGAUUCAGCGGCGGACGGGUGAGUAAUGCCUAGGAAUCUGCCUGGUAGUGGGGGAUAACGUCCGGAAACGGGCGCUAAUACCGCAUACGUCCUGAGGGAGAAAGUGGGGGAUCUUCGGACCUCACGCUAUCAGAUGAGCCUAGGUCGGAUUAGCUAGUUGGUGGGGUAAAGGCCUACCAAGGCGACGAUCCGUAACUGGUCUGAGAGGAUGAUCAGUCACACUGGAACUGAGACACGGUCCAGACUCCUACGAGAGGCAGGAGUGGGGAAUAUUGGACAGUGCGCGAAAGCCAGAUCCAGCCAUGCCGCGUGUGUGAAGAAGGUCUUCGGAUUGUAAAGCACUUUAAGUUGAGAGGAAGGGCAGUAAGUUAAUACCUUGCUGUUUUGACGUUACCAAAAGAAUAAGCACCGGCUAACUUCGU